rnacentral:rRNA from 1 species
CGUUUAGCGGCGGACGGGUGAGUAACACGUGGGCAACCUGCCCCGCAGAUCGGGAUAACUCCGGGAAACCGGUGCUAAUACCGAAUAGUUUUUCGCCCCUCAUGGGGCGAAACGGAAAGACGGCAUCUCGCUGUCACUGCAGGAUGGGCCCGCGGCGCAUUAGCUAGUUGGUGGGGUAACGGCCCACCAAGGCGACGAUGCGUAGCCGACCUGAGAGGGUGAUCGGCCACACUGGGACUGAGACACGGCCCAGACUCCUACGGGAGGCAGCAGUAGGGAAUCUUCCGCAAUGGACGAAAGUCUGACGGAGCAAUGCCGCGUGAGUGACGAAGGUUUUCGGAUCGUAAAACUCUGUUGUAAGGGAAGAACACGUGCCAUUUAACUGAUGGCAUUUUGACGGUACCUUACCAGAAAGCCACGGCUAACUACGUGCCAGCAGCCGCGGUAAUACGUAGGUGGCAAGCGUUGUCCGGAAUUAUUGGGCGUAAAGCGCGCGCAGGCGGUCCCUUAAGUCUGAUGUGAAAGCCCACGGCUCAACCGUGGA